rnacentral:rRNA from 1 species
GACGAACGCUGGCGGCAUGCCUAAUACAUGCAAGUCGAGCGAACAGAUGAAGUGCUUGCACUUCUGACGUUAGCGGCGAACGGGUGAGUAACACGUAAGGAAUCUACCUAUAAGCGGGGGAUAACAUUCGGAAACGGGUGCUAAUACCGCAUAAUAUCUUCUUCCGCAUGGAAGAAGAUUGAAAGACGGCUCUGCUGUCACUUAUAGAUGACCUUGCGGUGCAUUAGUUAGUUGGUGGGGUAACGGCCUACCAAGACGAUGAUGCAUGGCCGACCUGAGAAGGUGAUCGGCCACCUUGGGCCUGAGACACGGCCCAAACUCCUACGGGAGGCAGCAGUAGGGAAUCUUCCGCAAUGGGCGAAAGCCUGACGGAGCAAUGCCGCGUGAGUGAAGAAGGCCUUCGUGUCGUAAAACUCUGUUAUAAGAGAAGAACAAAUUGUAGAGUAACUGCUACAGUCUUGACGGUAUCUUAUCAGAAAGCCACGGCUAACUACGUGCCAGCCGCCGCAGUAA